AAUCUUAAGUUUUUUGGUCUUUGGGUUUAACAUGUUUCAGAUUUUACAGUCUGCAGAGAAACCACAAAAUAAUGUUGAGCUUUCCAAUUCUACUCCACUUCCACCUUCAAAACCAACGCUACAACUAUUGGCUCAACUUCCAAUCACAUCCAACAACAUGGUGCUUCCUUAACAGAACCAAUGGUUAUAUGAUUAUCCAUUAUAAAGGUCUAAAAGUGGUGGCUGCGACUCUUCUUCUAGAGAAGACAGAGAUCAGGUUCCUUCUACAAACAUCCCCAUCUCAAGACUAGAAUUUUUGAAGGAGCUAUUAAGAGAAGCAUCAGUGGGAAAAUAAACAUAAAAACGGAAGACUUCUGUGCAUUGUCAAUGAGGAAUAAUGUAGGAGCUUUGGUCAAACACGUCUUAGAGCCAUCACCAGAAAAGCUCAUGGAAUCAUUGUGGCAUUCGAUGUAACAGACCAAGAGGGCUUCAACAAUGUCAAGAUCAAAUCUGUCGUACGCCAGUGAGAAUAGGAGCAAGCACCGGGUUGGGAUCUCACAUCACAGAAAGUUGUAUCAACUGAGUCAGCCAACGAUUAAGCCCAUGAACUUGGGAUCCCAUUCCUGGAAACAAGUGCGAAGAAUGCUACCAAUGUCAGAGAAGCUUUCAUGGC